rnacentral:rRNA from 1 species
GGAUGCGAUCAUACCAGCACUAAAGCAUCGGAUCCCAUCAGAACUUCGAAGUUAAGCGUGCUUGGGCGAGAGUAGUACUAGGAUGGGUGACCUCGUGGGAAGUCCUCGUCUUGCAUUCC